ensembl:lncRNA ATP13A3-DT ATP13A3 divergent transcript
AGCCACCCUCGCCCCCGCCAAAACAAACAGACAAAAAACUGUCAUUCUCAUAUGACCACGGACUCUGCGCCCCGGCCGCAGGCGGAGGACAGGGAGGAGCGCACACGAGAAAGCUCCCACGCGCCCGCGCCUCGCCUCCGACGGGAAGGCGCCUCUUCCGACCGUCCUGGAUGCAAAUUAAAUACUUCCCUCCGCAGAAGACUUAUCUCGGGGUAGGGCCGCAGCCGGAUUUCCAAAUCGCGGGUUUGAUUUUCGCUGCGUCCUCUCCGCGACGCGCGCAGGGAGCGCGCCCGGCCACCUGCAGCCUCUGGCUGCGGCCAUCUUUCCGCCUGGGGCCACCUGGCCUGCGCCCUUUGUGCCCGGCCCGCUCCGUGACUGUUCUUCUUGCCGCUACUUACAGAACUCAGCCGCCUUAGCGUCUUAGAGAAGAGGACGGCAUGCAUGCGGACCCCGUCCACCACACCUGGAGAGCAGGGAGCCCUUAGUCCCUGGACACUUACCAGGGCCGCCACCCCUGGUCCACGCACGUGAUGACAUCUCACCAGGGGCAGCACACCGCCCGAGUCCGCGACACUGAUAACACCUCCUGCGGGCAGGAGGGCGCCACAGCCACCCCUGGUCCCCUAGAUUGUGUGAGGCUAGCAUUUCUGCCCGCCUCUUGGCGUGGACAGCACGCUGGACCGAGAUGGAACCACAGCUUUCUCUUCCCAAUCCCUGGCCUCACCGUUUUGUUUCAUACCUCACCGUUUGUUUCAAACCUCGUGGUGUUGAAAUGAUUAAAUGAGAUUAAGGGGUGUGUGGUAGUGUUGGGCAAACCACAAGAAAACGGUCUGGGUGGGGUCUGGCCCUAAAAUCUUCCUCCCCCACCUCCCAGGCUUCCUUGCCUUGCUGCUUCCUCUCAGCCUUUAAACAGGUUGGCCUCUCCAAGUCCUAAAAACAAAAUUAUCAAGCCAACCUCCUCCUGAAGUGCUCCCUCCAACUAGCUUCCAAGUGUUUCAUGCGGACCUCAAACAAUGGUCUUCCCUGGCUGCCUCUGCUUCCUCAUUUCUCAACACUUGGCAUUCUGGCUUCUCCUCCCCAACUCUAACCCUUCACCUUGCUCAGGCAAGAGCAACUCAUGACUUUCAUUUUGCCAAACCUUGCAGGCAUUCCUCAGGCCUUAUCUCUCUGGUUCUUUCUGCUACAUUUGACACCUUGGGAUGACUCUCACCUUCUGGAAUCUCUCUACUACCUUGGUUUCAGAAGAGUGAACCCUCUGGAUUAUCACAUGAAGCUACUUCCUGUGAGCAGCCCAGGGAUGGCCAGUCACUUGUGACCUACUUUCAGAGCUGGCAGUUCUGACUUCUAGAACAAACUCGGAACAAGCCCAUCUACAGCUGGUUGACUGAGUUUCCUUUGGGCUCCUGGCACCAGAAAGAAUUGCUCACUGGAAGGAUCAUAGGUGGCACUCAUGUCUCACUGCCCCACUCAGGCAACAUCAUGCACGCGGAUGAUCAACAGUCAGUUCCUGGUCAACAUAAGUAAACAAGCCUGUUUAAGAUAAAUUCCCCCACACUCCCUUGUACCUACUCCUUGCCCUCUGCCCCAGGGUUAUAGAACAGCUGCUUUCUGCUAUUCUCCCCCCAGGCUCUGCAGAACCUUCUGACCUUUCAGAAGGUUUGCAUCCUUUCCCUAUAGUUUUUCCACCGCUCUGACCAGUCCCCCACAAUAUAUAGCCUUGUAUGCAAAGCCAGGCCUGUCCAUGCAGGGUGACCAUCCAAGGUAGACAGUGGCAAAAUCUGGUGGAGGCAUCAGAGAUAGUGCCAUCAGUUUGCUGGAACAAGCAUAUCAAGGAGCCUGGCAGAUCUACACUUCACCAGACGGUGCCUGUAGCCAACAGGGCAGGCCCUUGCUCCAGGGAAACACUCAGAAAUCAAAACUCCUUGCUCUGCUGCCAGGGAACUCUCCAGGAGAUCCUCAGUGUCAUCAGAAGCUGAAAAAAACAGUGCUGAGAAACGUGGCCUGCCGUCUUUCCAGCUAAGGGAGAUGGCCCAUUCGACCCUGGGUUGUCCUCUGCAAACGCGCUGCUGCAGGUUGCAUGGCACCAUCUCCUGAUUGCAAUUUGCUUUCCUGAGGGAGUGAACUGACUGAAAUUGGAUGGUAAUAAGUUGCUAGGUUAUUUUCCACUUUUUAGUUUAUGAGGCUUAUUCAUUUUGCUUUAACAUUAACCACUGCCUUCCUUUUAAGGAGCUGGUGAGGCAGCGCAUGGCAACAGGUUCAGGGUGAGGAGUGGCACCACCUCCUUUCAGUGAGGAUUUGGGAAGGGUGAAAAGCACCCUAAUCUUCUCAGCCGCAUGUGAACAAACCACCUGUCAAGGUGGGUCCUUCCUAUAGGGAGGUUGAUGUCAGCCCUUCAGGGAGGUCUCAGUUUUCUUCCUCCACUUCCUAAUCCCUUCAUUAUAAUUCCUUCCACAACAGAAUAAGUUUCUUGAGCAAUGCAGCAAUAUCCAGCAAUUUUAGAUAGACAUUUACCUUUUGACCUAGAAAUCUCACUUCUACGAAUCCAUCCUAAAGACACACUUUCAGCUGGAUGUGGUCGCUCAUGCCUGCGAUCCUAACACUCUGGGAGGCUAAAGUGGAAGAAUCUCUUGGGCUCAGGAGCUCAAGACCAGCCUGGGCAACAUAGGAAGACCCUAUCUCUAAAAAAAAUAAAAAUAAAAACGGCACACAGUCAAAAAUUCAAAAAUUAAUAUACAUAAGGCUAUUUAUUACAGAAACAUUGGUAGUAGCAAAAGACUGGAAAUAACUCAAUGCCCAUCAAUAGGGAACGGAGUAAAUAAACUAAGAUACCUACACAUAAUGGAGUGCCAUGCAGCUUUGAAAGGAAAUGAGGCAUAUUUCUAUGUUAUAUGUUGUGAUCACCAGAAUAUAACCUAAUGAGUAAAAAGCCAGGUGAAGAAAAUUCUGAUAAUAUGCUAUCAUUGGAGAGGGGAAUAUGAAUAUACCAUACAUCACAUAGGAGGAGAGAGGAAAUAAAGUGAGAGGAUUGGGAUAGAAGCUAGACUUUUCUAAAUAUAUCUUGUUUUAUAGAUUUAUGUUGGAAGUUUGUGGAUAUAGUACUUUAGAAAAGUAUAAAACCAAAUUAGACUUGACAAAAUGAAACAAGUCAAUCUGUUGAGUUGAUGGUGUAACUACACAGUGAGAAACUAUUGCAAAUGACCUUAACACUCAGGAAUUCCACUGUAUAUUCCUAAUGGGAGAUCCCCUAAUGACCAAACUUAAACCCAGUCCAACCAAACCAAAAAACCUUGUAAAAUAUCUGAAACCAUUUUUAGUAAUGAAAUGAGAAAUGUGGUCGUGUUGGUGAUAUGGUUUGGCUGUGUCCCCACCCCGACAUCAUCUUGAAUUGUAACUCCCACAAUUCCCACAUGUCAUGAGAGGAACCCAGUGGGAGGUGAUUGAAUUAUGGGUGUGGGUCUUUCCUGCGCUGUUCCCAUGAUAGUGAAUGACAAGAUCUGAUGAUUUUAAAAACGGUUUCCCCGCACAACCUCCCUCUCUUGCCUGCCACCAUCUAUGUAAGAUGUGACUUGUUCCUCCUUGCCUUCCGCUGUGAUCGUGAGGCCUCCCCAGCCAUGUGGAACUGUAAGUCCAUUAAACCUCUUUUUCUUCCCAGUCUCGGGUAUGUCUUCAUCAGCAGCAUGAAAAUAAACUCAUACAGUAAAUUGGUACCAAUAAAGUGGGGUGCUGCUGAAAAGAUACCCAAAAAUGUGGAAGCGACUUUGGAACUGGGUUAUCAGGCAGAGGCUGGAACAGUUUGGAGGGCUCAGAAGAAGACAGGAAAAUGUGGGAAAGUUUGGAACUUCCUAGAGACUUGUUGAAUGGCUUUGACAAAAAUGCUGAUAGUGAUAUGAACAAUAAGGUCCAGGCUGAGGUGGUCUCAGAUGGAGAUGAGGAACUUGUUGGGAACUGGAACAAAGGUGACCCUUGUUAUGUUUUAGCAAAGAGACUGGUGGCAUUUUGCUCCUGCCUUAGAGAUUUGCAGAACUUUGAACUUGAGAGAGAUGAUUUAGAGUAUCUGGUGGAAGAAAUGUCUAAGCAACAAAGUAUUCAAGAGGUGACUUGGGCGUUCUUAAACACAUUCAGUUUUAUAAGGGAAGCAGAGCAUAAAAGUUCAGAAACUUGCAGCCUGACAAUGUAAUAGAAAAGAAAAUUCUAUUUUCUGAGGAGAAAUUCAAGCUGGCUGCAGAAAUUUGCAUAAGAAAUGGGGACCCAAAUAUUAAUCUCCAAGACAAUGGGGAAAAUGUCUCCAGGGCAUUUCAGAGGUCUUCAUGGCAGCCCCUCCCAUCACGGGACCAGAGGCCUAGGAGGAAAAAAAUGGUUUCUUGGGCCAGGCCCAGGGUCUCCGUGCUGUGUGCAGCCUAGGGACUUGGUGCCCUGCAUCCCAGCUACUCCAGCCAUGAUUAAAAGGGCCCAAGGUACAGCUCGGGCCGUGGCUGCAGAGGGUGCAAGCCUCAAGCCUUGGAAGCUUCUAUGUGGAAUUCAACCUGUGGGUGCACAGAAGUCAAGAACUGAGGCUUGGGAACCUCUGCCUAGAUUUCAGAGGAUGUAUGGAAACGCCUGGAUAUCCAGGAAGUUUGCUGCAGGGACAGGGCCCUCAUGGAGAACCUCUGCUGGGACAGUGUGGAAAGGAAAUGUGGAGUUGGAGUCCCCACACAGAGUCCCAACUGGGGCACCACCUAGUGGAGCUGUGAGAAGAGGGCCACUGUCCUCCAGACCCCAGAAUGGUAGAUCCACCGACAGCUUGCACAUGUGCCUGGAAAAUCGGCAGACACUCAACACCAGCCCAUGAAAGCAGCCAGAAGGGAGGGUGUACCCUGCAAAGCCACAGGGGCUGAGCUGCCCAAGACCAUGGGAACCCACUUCUUGCAUCAGCGUGACCCGGAUGCGAGACAUGGAGUCAAAGGAGAUCAUUUUGGAGAUUUAAGACUUAACUGCCCUGCUGGAUUUCUGAUUUGUAUGGGGACCAGAGCGCCUUUGUUUUGGCCAAUUUCUCCCAUUUGGAAUGGCUGUAUUUACCCGAUACCUGUACCCCCAUUGUAUCUGGGAAGUAACUAACUUGCUUUUGAUCUUACAAGCUCCUAGGCGAAAGGAAUGUGCCUUGUCUCAGAUGAGACUUUGGACUGUGGACUUUUGAGUUAAUGCUGAAAUGAGUUAAGACUUUGGGAGACUGUUGGGAAGGCAUGACUGGUUUUGAAACGUGAGAACAUGAGAUUUGGGAGGGGCCAGAGGCGGGAUGAUAUGGUUUGGCUGUGUCCCCACCGAAAUCUCAUUUUGAAUUGUAACUCCCACAACUCCUGUGUGUCAUUGGAGGAACCCAGUGGGAGGUGAUCGAAUUAUGGGGGCAGGUCUUUCCUGUGCGGUUCUCAUGAUGGUAAAUGAGUCUCACAAGAGCUGAUCGUUUUAAAAGUGGGAGUUUCCCUGUACAAGCUGUCUCUCUUGCCUGCUGCCAUUCAUGUAAGAUGUGACUUACUCCUCCUUGCCUUCCACAAUGAUUGUGAGGCCGUCCCAGCCAUGUGGG